GUGCCAGCAGCCGCGGUAAUACGUAGGGUGCAAGCGUUGUCCGGAAUUAUUGGGCGUAAAGAGCUCGUAGGCGGUUUGUUGCGUCGGCUGUGAAAUCCCGAGGCUCAACCUCGGGUCUGCAGUCGAUACGAGCAAACUAGAGUGUUGCAGGGGAGACUGGAAUUCCUGGUGUAGCGGUGAAAUGCGCAGAUAUCAGGAGGAACACCGGUGGCGAAGGCGGGUCUCUGGGCAACAACUGACGCUGAGGAGCGAAAGCGUGGGGAGCGAACAGGAUUAGAUACCCUGGUAGUCC
rnacentral:rRNA from 2 species